GAUUAAAAUCAUCUAUAUGAAUAUCUGUUGUAUUUGUAGCCAGUUGAGCUGUUAAAUCAAUUGUUGAAAUUAACUCAGUGAAUUGUGAUACGUUAUCUUGUUGGAAGUGUAUUUGUGGUGGUUCAGUAAUCUUGGAAACGAGUGAACGGAACUGUUUAGGACUAAAAUGCAAGUAAUUCUUAA
rnacentral:sRNA from 1 species